rnacentral:lncRNA from 1 species
AUUUAUCGAAUACAAUAGAAGAUUAGUCUCCGAAUACAAUUCAUCAUAUUAGUCUCCGAAUUUAAAAUACCGAACAAAGCUAGAACAUUACAAGUCUCGAGACCGCGAGUAGCGCGUUUGUCUUCACAUUACAAGUCGAUAUCGACCAUCUAAACUACCAUCACAUAGAAGAGAGUUGCGGUCAUCACGAUGAGCAUAU